GAAAACAUUGUUCGGAAGAUGAAGACAAUGCCGAAAGGCAAACAGUUCAUAUUGAUGGAAAUAACGAGAAGCCCGAUGAUUUAUGUAUCAACAAGAAACAAGAGCAAGAUGACGAAAAGGAUCGACGACCGCCCCUGGUGUAUGGAAUCAGAAAGGUCGCAGCACGUGAAAAGAGAAAUUUUGGUAUCUCAAGAAAUCCUUUAUGGAAAAACAAUGUCAUACCAUAUAAUAUUGAC